CCACGGCCGAGCGCCCCGGACAGGGCCCGAGCCCGCGGCGCAGCGGAGAGGCGGCCUGCGCCCGGGAAGGGCUCGGCAAAGGGGAACGGAGGGGCGCACCCUAUGCUGCGGGAGCGCGAGUGGAGGGGGGCACCCGGUUUAGGGGCGAAUAGCGCGGGCUCCGGGGGAGGCCACGCGGCCCGGAGCUUUGCGGCCGGCGGCCAAGAGUGCGCCACGGCCUCCCGUGCCCUGAGCGCGGUCUGGGGGGCCCUGGCCUGCCCGCAGGACGAGCUUUAAUUUGUCCGAACUAACACAGGGCACGCCCUCACGUGGUCGGCUGGGGCAAUGUGAAGUGUGCUAGGACAUCUUCGAGGGGGGUCUCCACCCGAGUCCGAGGGGCCGGCGGCUGGAGGCGCCCUCCGACUGCGCGCCCGCGGUCCUGCUAUGCCAAGGGGCCUGAGCACGGCCCGGGAGGACGUGGGGGCCACUGCGGGUGUCUCCCUGCGGACAUUCCCUAACCUCCCCCCACCCCCACCCAACUGGCGCCGAUGCUCCAAAUGCCCCAUUUUGUGGUGCGCAAGUGGCCGCCACCGUUCGCCCCAAAGCCAAAUGGCGGUUCCACGGUGGAGCCGGUUGAGUGUCAGGCUGCGACCCCCCAAGGAGUUCUCCGACGUGAUGGGGGGAGGGGAGGUGCUGGGCCGCACCCCUCCCCCUCGCGGGAGGGGAGGGCGAUUGCGAGCCGGGCCUGGAGACUGCUUUCCCAGCUCCCUCUCUCCUGGUACCAGGCGAAGUCCCCCGCGGGGGCUUGUGCAAGUCUGGAGGCUCUGAUACGGGCGGGAUCCAGCGUGACUGGUGCCCUGGAGGCGCCGGAAGGCAUUUCACGAAGUGAAAGAUGCCUCUACUUGGGGAAGCUGGAUCCAUGGGGAGACACCCCGGGGGGAGAGCUGAUUCCUUCGGGGCACAGACCCCAUCUGCCCUCCGACAAGCUAGUGAAUAAGACCCAGAAGAGGAGGAAAUUGAGGCUAGGAACCAGUGAGACGGGGGGUGGAGAUUUUUUGGCCGGGAGAGGAGCCAGUGGCCUGGAGGCAGGGGAGGUCUUCAGCUCCCCCGCAGUGAGUACAGCCCAUAGGAGAGGAAAGAUAAGCUCAGGUCCCUGCAAAGAAGGCCAAGCCUCUCUCCCAGGAAGGACCCUAAGUGGACCUUGAGCCAUGGAAAACCUUGCAGGCCUGAGACCUCCCGCAAG
rnacentral:lncRNA from 1 species